rfam:Glycine max cultivar Williams 82 chromosome 3, whole genome shotgun sequence.
UGCAAUCUUUGAUGACAUUUCAAUAAUUUGCCGAUUGUCUAUGAUUAUUAUCCUAAAUAUCACCAUCUUUCGGCUAAGAUUGAA